GUGACCUCAAAUCAGGUAGGACUACCCGCUGAACUUAAGCAUAUCAAUAAGCGGAGGAAAAGAAACUAACAAGGAUUCCCCUAGUAACUGCGAGUGAAGCGGGAAAAGCUCAAAUUUAAAAUCUGGCAGUCUUUGACUGUCCGAGUUGUAAUCUAGAGAAGUGCUAUCCGCGCUGGACCGUGUACAAGUCUCCUGGAAUGGAGCGUCAUAGAGGGUGAGAAUCCCGUCUUUGACACGGACUGCCAGGGCUUUGUGAUACGCUCUCAAAGAGUCGGGUUGUUUGGGAAUGCAGCUCAAAAUGGGUGGUAAAUUCCAUCUAAAGCUAAAUAUUGGCGAGAGACCGAUAGCGAACAAGUACCGUGAGGGAAAGAUGAAAAGAACUUUGGAAAGAGAGUUAAACAGUACGUGAAAUUGCUGAAAGGGAAACGCUUGAAGUCAGUCGCGUUGUCCAGGGAUCAACCUUGCUUUUGCUUGGUGCACUUUCUGGUUGACGGGUCAGCAUCAAUUUUGACUAUUGGAAAAAGAUUAGGGGAAUGUGACAUCUUUGGAUGUGUUAUGGCCCUUGGUUGCAUACAAUGGUUGGGAUUGAGGAACUCAGCACGCCGCAAGGCCGGGUUUUAAACCACGUACGUGCUAGGAUGCUGCAUA
rnacentral:rRNA from 1 species